rnacentral:lncRNA from 1 species
CCUCUGGAUCAAUGUUUUUGGAACUUGGUUUGCUAUAAGAUGUUAAAGACCCUUCUCCCAAAAUGUUAAGAAAUCCCUUACAAUGACAGAAUGAAUCCAACAUGGGCAUGCACCUAACGUAUGAAAAGGUAGGCGACAAAGUAACCAAGCUGCAUUUUUUAAUCUUUGUAGCAAAGCAGUUAAAAUAACAAGAAAACAAAGGAAUCAAAUGUCUGGCUAUAAAACACAACAUGAGAGAGGACAAGGCCUGG